rnacentral:rRNA from 1 species
AUGAACGCUGGCGGCGUGCCUAAUACAUGCAAGUCGAGCGAACAGACGAGGAGCUUGCUCCUCUGACGUUAGCGGCGGACGGGUGAGUAACACGUGGAUAACCUACCUAUAAGACUGGGAUAACUUCGGGAAACCGGAGCUAAUACCGGAUAAUAUAUUGAACCGCAUGGUUCAAUAGUGAAAGACGGUUUUGCUGUCACCUAUAGAUGGAUCCGCGCCGCAUUAGCUAGUUGGUAAGGUAACGGCUUACCAAGGCAACGAUGCGUAGCCGACCUGAGAGGGUGAUCGGCCACACUGGAACUGAGACACGGUCCAGACUCCUACGGGAGGCAGCAGUAGGGAAUCUUCCGCAAUGGGCGAAAGCCUGACGGAGCAACGCCGCGUGAGUGAUGAAGGUCUUCGGAUCGUAAAACUCUGUUAUUAGGGAAGAACAAAUGUGUAAGUAACUAUGCACGUCUUGACGGUACCUAAUCAGAAAGCCACGGCUAACUACGUG